GAGUUUGAUCCUGGCUCAGAACGAACGCUGGCGGCGUGGAUAAGACAUGCAAGUCGAGCGAUUACAUCAGGGUAGCAAUAUUCUGGUGUGAGAGCGGCGCAAGGGUGCGUAACACGUGGGUAAUCUGCCAUGAAGUUUGGGAUAAUCCCGCGAAAGCGGGACUAAUACCGGAUGUGACAGCCUGGAGGCAUCUUCGGGUUGUUAAAGUUGGGGACCGUAAGGCCUGACGCUUCAUGAUGAGCCCGCGGCCUAUCAGCUAGUUGGUGAGGUAACGGCUCACCAAGGCUAAGACGGGUAGCUGGUCUGAGAGGACGACCAGCCACACUGGAACUGAGACACGGUCCAGACACCUACGGGUGGCAGCAGUCGAGAAUUUUUCACAAUGGGCGCAAGCCUGAUGGAGCGACGCCGCGUGGGGGAUGAAUGGCUUCGGCCCGUAAACCCCUGUCAUUUGCGAUCAAACCUUGCUAUUUAAAAGAUGGCGAGCUGAUAGUAGCGAAAGA
rnacentral:rRNA from 1 species